UUGCCUACGGGUGGCAGCAGUGGGGAAUAUUGGGCAAUGGGGGAAACCCUGACCCAGCGACGCCGCGUGGAGGAAGGAGCCCUUCGGGGUGUAAACUCCUGUUGUAAGGGAAGAAGACAGUGACGGUACCUUACGAGGAAGCCCCGGCAAACUACGUGCCAGCAGCCGCGGUAACACGUAGGGGGCGAGCGUUGUCCGGAAUCACUGGGCGUAAAGCGCACGCAGGCGGAUGCGCGCGUCGGCUGUGAAAUGCACCGGCUCAACCGGUGCACUGCGGUCGAUACGGCGCGUCUGGAGUGCGGGAGAGGGAAGCGGAAUUCCCGGUGUAGCGGUGAAAUGCGUAGAUAUCGGGAGGAACGCCGGUGGCGAAGGCGGCUUCCUGGCCCGCAACUGACGCUCAUGUGCGAAAGCCAGGGGAGCGAACCGGAUUAGAUACCCCUGUAGUCAUC
rnacentral:rRNA from 1 species